rnacentral:rRNA from 1 species
UACGGAGGGUGCAAACGUUGCUCGGAAUUAUUGGGCGUAAAGCGCACGUAGGCGGCCGUUUAAGUCGGGUGUGAAAGCCCAGGGCUCAACCCUGGAAGUGCACUCGAAACUGGACGGCUUGAAUAUGGAAGAGGGUUGCGGAAUUCCCGGUGUAGAGGUGAAAUGCGUAGAUAUCGCUUGGAACGCCAACGGUGAAAACAGACGACUGGGAGUGCGCUGACGCUGAGACACGAAAGCCAGGGGAGCGAACGGG